CGCUGGCGGCGUGCCUAAUACAUGCAAGUCGAGCGAACUGAUUAGAAGCUUGCUUCUAUGACGUUAGCGGCGGACGGGUGAGUAACACGUGGGCAACCUGCCUGUAAGACUGGGAUAACUUCGGGAAACCGAAGCUAAUACCGGAUAGGAUCUUCUCCUUCAUGGGAGAUGAUUGAAAGAUGGUUUUCGGCUAUCACUUACAGAUGGGCCCGCGGUGCAUUAGCUAGUUGGUGAGGUAGCGGCUCACCAAGGCAACGAUGCAUAGCCGACCUGAGAGGGUGAUCGGCCACACUGGGACUGAGACACGGCCCAGACUCCUACGGGAGGCAGCAGUAGGGAAUCUUCCGCAAUGGACGAAAGUCUGACGGAGCAACGCCGCGUGAGUGAUGAAGGCUUUCGGGUCGUAAAACUCUGUUGUUAGGGAAGAACAAGUACAAGAGUAACUGCUUGUACCUUGACGGUACCUAACCAGAAAGCCACGGCUAACUACGUGCCAGCAGCCGCGGUAAUACGUAGGUGGCAAGCGUUAUCCGGAAUUAUUGGGCGUAAAGCGCGCGCAGGCGGUUUCUUAAGUCUGAUGUGAAAGCCCACGGCUCAACCGUGGAGGGUCAUUGGAAACUGGGGAACUUGAGUGCAGAAGAGAAAAGCGGAAUUCCACGUGUAGCGGUGAAAUGCGUAGAGAUGUGGAGGAACACCAGUGGCGAAGGCGGCUUUUUGGUCUGUAACUGACGCUGAGGCGCGAAAGCGUGGGUUAGCAUUCAGGAUUAGAUACCCUGGUAGUCCACGCCGUAAAGAGAGUCCAAUAUUGUUAGAGGGUUUCCGCCCUUUA
rnacentral:rRNA from 2 species